rnacentral:sRNA from 1 species
UUUUUCUCUGCACAGGGAAGGAUGAGAAGCUUCGACUGAAGGUUCGAUUCGAACGCAGUGAGAAAGCGUUGCCAAAGGCAACGACCCGAAGGGCGAGGCGCUUGCGCCGAGUAAUCCUUCCCCCGCCACCA